UUAACGCUGAGGUGUGAUGACGAGGCACUACGGUGCUGAAGUAACAAAUGCCCUGCUUCCAGGAAAAGCCUCUAAGCAUCAGGUAACACGAAAUCGUACCCCAAACCGACACAGGUGGUCAGGUAGAGAAUACCAAGGCGCUUGAGAGAACUCGGGUGAAGGAACUAGGCAAAAUGGUGCCGUAACUUCGGGAGAAGGCACGCUGAUAUGUAGGUGAAGUG
rnacentral:rRNA from 1 species